AACGAACGCUGGUGGCAUGCCUAAUACAUGCAAGUCGAACGAGAAAGCACUUCGGUGUGAGUAGAGUGGCGCACGGGUGAGUAACGCGUAGGUGACGUGCCUUAUAGUUGGGGACAACAUCGGGAAACCGGUGCUAAUACCGAAUAAGCUUAACGACAUUGAAAAGUUAAGGAAAGGGGCCUCUGGUCUCGCUAUAAGAUCGGCCUGCGUGACAUUAGCUAGUUGGUGAGGUAAUGGCUCACCAAGGCGACGAUCUGUAGCUGGUCUGAGAGGAUGAUCAGCCACAUCGGGACUGAGACACGGCCCGAACUCCUACGGGAGGCAGCAGUGGGGAAUAUUGGACAAUGGGGGCAACCCUGAUCUAGCCAUGCCGCGUGAGUGAUGAAGGCCUUAGGGUCGUAAAGCUCUUUCGCCUGUGAUGAUAAUGACAGUAGCAGGUAAAGAAACCCCGGCUAACUCCGUG
rnacentral:rRNA from 1 species